rnacentral:rRNA from 1 species
CUAACACAUGCAAGUCGAGCGGUAACAGGUGUAGCAAUACAUGCUGACGAGCGGCGAACGGGUGAGUAAUGCUUUGGAAUCUUCCCAGUAGUGGGGAAUAACCAGUCGAAAGAUUGGCUAAUACCGCAUACGUCUGUAAAGGGAAAGCGGGGGCUCGUAAGACCUCGCGCUAUUGGAUGAGCCAAAGUCGGAUUAGCUAGUUGGUGGGGUAAUGGCCUACCAAGGCGACAAUCCGUAGCUGGUCUGAGAGGACGACCAGCCACACCGGAGCUGAGACACGGUCCGGACUCCUACGGGAGGCAGCAGUGGGGAAUAUUGGACAAUGGGGGAAACCCUGAUCCAGCGGCGCCGCGUGUGUGAAGAAGGCCUGCGGGUUGUAAAGCACUUUUAGUGGGGACAAAAAGCUACGGAUUAAUACUCUGUGGUCUUGAUUUAACCCAAAGAAAAAGCACCGGCUAACUCUGUGCCAGCAGCCGCGGUAAU